rnacentral:lncRNA from 1 species
GAUUCUUUGGACUAGGCAGAAAGUGAUCAAUUUCCUCUCCUCUCAUAUUAUCCUCAACCUGCGGCCUAUUUGUACUCCUGAUUGAACUAUUGGGAUAAAAGGGUUAAGAAGAACAAAAUUGUUGGAGAGAUUUUUGAAUUUUUAUGAUAAUUUCUUGGUGUCCCAGGAUCUACUGAAUGUCUCAACAGAGGAACUGUUUCUUCCACUUCACAAGUUAUAAUUUUUGACUUGAUAAAGAAUGACGCAAGCCUUGAGUUUCCCUGGGAAUGAUGGCUGUCAUACCUCUGAGGAAAACACAUGGAUUAGAGCAAGAGAAAAUCUAGUGACUGAAAAAGAAUAAGAAGAAAAACACUGACCAAGAUAAUAAUCCCAAGAAGUCAAAAAUUAAGACCUGAGAGGAAGAAGGCAGACUAAAGAAAGUAGGUGAGACAGUGACC